UUGGUUUGAUGGUUAAAUGGUGUGUUAUUAUGGUGGAGGUCUUGUGUUCGAAUCCCUCUGUAGGCAAGGGUAUUUUUUUUUGCUCAGAUUUUGGGAUAGAGUUGUGCAAUAAGGGGAUUCUGAGUAGUGGGAAUUAGGGGAAAAGAUUAAGGGAUUUUAGGGGUUAUCAGGAUUUUAUUUUCUUUUUUUUCCAUAACCGAAUUUUGACUCUCUUUUCCAAAAAGAAAUCCUGCCAUCUAUUCUUCUUCCUCUCCUCUUGCCGAAAUUCUCUGAGUUUUUCCAUCUUUCUCGUCUUCUUGAUUUUUCC
rnacentral:lncRNA from 1 species